rnacentral:lncRNA from 1 species
AAUGGAUUGCAAUUCAUCAAAGAUAUUAUUAAGACAAAUGAGAUAUGUAGAAUAAAUAAGCCAGAUAGGAUGUUCCCACGUUAUGAGAGCAUUAGAGCAAGGAUUGACAAAUAUACCCAAGUAUAGUGUUACAAGAGUCACAGCGACGACGCACUAAAUGCCAGCUACGAAUUUUUUAACUCGAAACAUCAAGAAUUGUGAUAUGCUAAUUCCCAAAUACCACAUAACUUUUAGGCAAAUGUUACUGUGAUGCAUAAGUUUCGGUGAUGCCACCCAGUCAGUUAACAGCUCGAAACACAACUUGCUAGGAAAACAUUUGCAGAAAAAGAAGCCGCAAAAGGAAAACUUGAAACUGGAUAGAGCCGCAUAAGCAACUUAACAAUUUUUAUACUUGCCAAGUAACUGAUUUUAUUUCACAGCUUCUUCAGUGAGGCUUUUAAGUGUGGCUGAAGGCUUACAGAUCCAGUUGCCAUUUCAACUUCAUAGGUGAGUUCUCCAUCAACCAGCUUAAAAGUCCGAGUAAUAUCCUUCACCUGUUUGUAACAAGAGAAACAUGAAAUAUUUUUAGCUUCUCCAGUAAUGCCAAAAUUUAACCUUU